CCCAGGUGAUGGAGAUCUCUUCCCGGGCUCCUCGGAGAGGGCUGAGCGGCGGGAGGAGGCUCCCCUCAAAUUAGGAACGUUUCAGAAGCCAGGGUGCAGUGAUUAGUGGGAAACACUGCAAACUACUGAUCAGGAACUCUCAACAUACAGGGAGGAUAAUGAAGAAGUUUCAAAGAAACCAGUUCCUGUUGCUGUAAUCUAACAAGUUUCAACAUAAAAGUACCCUGAACCUUUACUGCUGUGUAACAAAGCACAGCAGCCUGGGA